GGUGCUUCACAUAGAUUAUUCAAUUAGUAAAGUAAUCCUAUGGAGUAGGUAUUAUCAUCUCCUGCUUCUUCUGCAGAUAAGGAAACUGAGAAUGGGGAAGUUGGAAUGUCUAAACUGACACAUCUUGCAUGUGGCAGAGCUGAAUUCAAACUCAGACAGGGCAGAAGCCAACCCAUGUCCUUUCCCUGCAGCAUGGUGACCACAGCAUGCUCCCUCUCACGCGGUUCUCGGAUGAGCGAGCCAACAGAAGGAUAUAGAGCUUUAAAAAAAUUCCAGGAACUGACACCUGGACCUCAUGUCCCACCUUCCACUCAGGAAGUAAAGUCAGAACUAAGUUCCCUGCUGCUACAGACAGGGCAGUGCAAGAUCAGAUAAAACUAAUCAGUAACUAACCAUGGCUGCGAAGAGAAAGAGAAAAUAAUUUCCAGGUAAAAUCCAGAUACAGGUGACAACCUUAGUAAAAAAUUAUUUCGAACUAACCUCUUCUAAGGAAUUUGGGACCAAAUAACAGCUCUGACUAGAGAAUAAAAUGAUCUGGAAGGAGACACAGCAAGUUCAAGAAAAUACCUACCUUGAGAAACAGGCAGAAAAAAAAUCACUAGGAACCACCGGGGGCUGUUUGGUUGGGUGCAUACCUACCUGAGCCUUGAGAACACAUCUGGUCCUUAGCAAACCUCAUCUGGACAGAAAAAAAAAUAAAACAAAACAUGUCUUAAAAACAAAACUCAGAUGUGGAAAAAUAAGGUUAUCCAAAUCUUGUUUGCCUUUGACUUCAAAGGACUCCUAUAUGGGAUAAACUUUGAGGAAUAUGAAAAGAGAAGAUUUGGCUCAAAGAACAGAAGGAUCAAAUCAAAGUACAAAGUUGUGAGAAAGAGCCCGAAAAACAUUUUACUGUGGUUGGAGCCAUUGGCCAUGCACUUUGAACAAAACCAAGUUCACACAGAGUAGUGAACUUAGUGAAGAACGUUCCAAGAUGUUCUAAAUUACAAGAAGGGAGAAGAGAGUCAUGUGGAUCAAACAAAGUGGAAACAGUUGUAAAAGUGUUAAUUGCAGGACUUCUCAGAGUGUUCAGAAUGCUAAUUCGAAUCAUGAACUUCCAAAUGUGGAACAUUUUAUUAUGCAUUUACAAAACAAAAUAAGCCACUGGAGUUUUUAUUUGAUAAAACCUUAUUAAUAUUCUG